rnacentral:rRNA from 1 species
GUUUGAUCCUGGCUCAGGAUGAACGCUGGCGGCGUGCUUAACACAUGCAAGUCGAACGAAGCUGCUUAACUGAUCUUCUUCGGAAUUGACGUUUUGUAGACUGAGUGGCGGACGGGUGAGUAACGCGUGGGUAACCUGCCCUGUACAGGGGGAUAACAGUCAGAAAUGACUGCUAAUACCGCAUAAGACCACAGCACCGCAUGGUGCAGGGGUAAAAACUCCGGUGGUACAGGAUGGACCCGCGUCUGAUUAGCUGGUUGGUGAGGUAACGGCUCACCAAGGCGACGAUCAGUAGCCGGCUUGAGAGGGUGAACGGCCACAUUGGGACUGAGACACGGCCCAAACUCCUACGGGAGGCAGCAGUGGGGAAUAUUGCACAAUGGGGGAAACCCUGAUGCAGCGACGCCGCGUGAGUGAAGAAGUAUUUCGGUAUGUAAAGCUCUAUCAGCAGGGAAGAAAAUGACGGUACCUGACUAAGAAGCCCCGGCUAACUACGUGCCAGCAGCCGCGGUAAUACGUAGGGGGCAAGCGUUAUCCGGAAUUACUGGGUGUAAAGGGUGCGUAGGUGGUAUGGCAAGUCAGAAGUGAAAACCCAGGGCUUAACUCUGGGACUGCUUUUGAAACUGUCAGACUGGAGUGCAGGAGAGGUAAGCGGAAUUCCUAGUGUAGCGGUGAAAUGCGUAGAUAUUAGGAGGAACACCAGUGGCGAAGGCGGCUUACUGGACGAUUACUGACGCUGAGGCUCGAAAGCGUGGGGAGCAAACAGGAUUAGAUACCCUGGUAGUCCACGCCGUAAACGAUGAGUGCUAAGUGUUGGAGGGUUUCCGCCCUUCAGUGCUGCAGCUAACGCAUUAAGCACUCCGCCUGGGGAGUACGACCGCAAGGUUGAAACUCAAAGGAAUUGACGGGGGCCCGCACAAGCGGUGGAGCAUGUGGUUUAAUUCGAAGCAACGCGAAGAACCUUACCAAGUCUUGACAUCCCGAUGACCGGUGCAGAGAUGUGCCUUUUCUUCGGAACAUCGGUGACAGGUGGUGCAUGGUUGUCGUCAGCUCGUGUCGUGAGAUGUUGGGUUAAGUC